rnacentral:rRNA from 1 species
UACGGAGGGUGCAAGCGUUAUCCGGAUUCACUGGGUUUAAAGGGUGCGUAGGAGGGCAGGUAAGUCAGUGGUGAAAUCCCCGAGCUUAACUUGGGAACUGCCGUUGAUACUAUCUGUCUUGAAUACCGUGGAGGUGAGCGGAAUAUGUCAUGUAGCGGUGAAAUGCUUAGAUAUCUGGAGGAACACCGGUGGCGAAGGCGGCAUCCUGGACCGAUACUGACGCUGAGGAGCGAAAGCCAGGGGAGCAAACGGG